CUACUCUCUUUUCUCUUUCUCUUUUUCUUUCUCCUAUAAAUCUUUCCUUCUGUUGUUCAGAUUGAUCAAUGGCUUCUUAAUCUUGCAGCUAGCUCUGAGCAAAUGCGGCCAAUAUGUUGCCUUUAUCUGCAUUUGCACCUGCACCUUACUUUUGUUUUCUUGAAAAAGUUCAAGAAUCAAGAUUUUAAUUUCUUUCUCUUAUCUGCAUACCCACCAGAGAUUUUUUUUUUUUUUAAUUUUGAUUCUAGAGAAGUUGGAAACAAAGGGAAUAAAGGUGCAGGUGUGAGUGCAGGUGAAUGCCAUUUUGGCUACUUUGAUGAUGAUGAUGGUGGUGGUGGUGAUGUAUAUGAUCAGGAUAAUAUAUAUAUAUAUAUUUCACAAUCCACAAAAUUUUCUGCUUAUGUACGGCCCUUUUCUUGCUUCUUGCUGAGCUUAGAUGCUGAUUUUGAUUUAUAGAUGAGAUGGGUUUUCCAAGACUAUAUGCCUUUUAUGUGCUACUUCAAGGGAGAGGCUAAUUAUCCCUAUGGGAUUAGCCGAUUGGGAGUAAUCUUUGAGCUUUUUAUCUAUCAAUCGAUGUUUUUUCUUUAUUAGUUUCUUUUAAGCAGAGAUCCAUGAGUAUACUAUAUCUGCAACGCACUUCUUUGGCUCUUUAUAGUUUAUGCAGAUCUCCACCACACAGCUAGGGUUUUCUCAAGGUAACUGAAAAUUAACCUCCUUUCUAAUCUCUAUCUUUCUCUCUCUCUCUCUCUCUCUCUC
rnacentral:misc_RNA from 1 species